AAAUCUGACGCAAGUCCGAGUUGUAAUUUGAAGAAGGUAAUUUUUGGGGAGAUGUGAACAAAAGUUCCUUGGAACAGGACGUCAUAGAGGGUGAGAAUCCCGUUUUGUUUACCUCUCUCUCCUUGUAAAAUGCUUUCGAAGAGUCGAGUUGUUUGGGAAUGCAGCUCUAAGUGGGUGGUAAAUUCCAUCUAAAGCUAAAUAUUGGCGAGAGACCGAUAGCGAACAAGUACAGUGAUGGAAAGAUGAAAAGAACUUUGAAAAGAGAGUGAAAAAGUACGUGAAAUUGUUGAAAGGGAAGGGUUUUAAGGGAGACUUGGGAGGUAACGAACAAUUUUCUUUCGGGAAGGUGCACUCGUUGCUUUCUAGGCCAAUAUGGAUUUGAAGAGUGGGAUAAAAGGAUAGGAAUGUAGCCACUCGUGGUGUUAUAGACUAUCCCAAUACUG
rnacentral:rRNA from 1 species